ensembl:lncRNA
AUCCUCCUGCAGAAUGAACCAUCCCCAAUCCAUUGGAAGUGUGUGAUUUCAUACUAUCCCGUGAGCUCGAUAUAUGGUGAGGAAUGUGAUCUACUACAUUUUAAGAUAAGUUUUAAGCUAUGAAUCUUCAUAUCACAUCAAAAGGAGCACCAACCAUAGAUAAGAAUGCAUAGAUAUCAUGUUAGCAGCUGUUGAUUACUGCAAUAUAUUUCUGCCAUAUUGGAAAGGUCAAAAUCUGCCUGCAAAACGUGAUCAGAUGUGAUCUGCAACAGGCAGCAACAGCCUCUUCAAACAGAUAUUCGUACUUGGUUUAUCAUGCAUGUCAGAUGGUUCUGCAUCAUGCAGAUGAUAUGAAAUUCAAAAUGAAGGGAGUAUUGAUAAAACAGUCUUGUAAGUGAUAUUGAUUAUCAUAGAGCACAGCUUGCAUGCUUUAAGCUCUUAAUUAAAGCAGUGGGAUUAGU